UCUUGGAUUUGUUUAUACUGGCAGCAUAAUUAAGAACUGGCAGAAGAGCCUAGCUAAUGUUAGCUAUGCUAAAUGAACUGAAGAUGCGCUCCCGUUUUCCCACUCUCCCACGACAGGUGCAUGAAACCAAGGCAAGCUACACAGCGUUGACUAGACCUAAGUUCCACCAAUUCACUGGGGGGAAUCUGGACAGGGGAGUAUGUCAGUCUUCACUCUGUAGUGACACCAGUCCACCCCUACCUUUGUAGCUCAUGACAGAGAGCUGGACCCCUGCCCUCUUCAGGAUCCUCAGCCCUUCCCUCUCGGCACUGUCCUCUGCAUCGCAGAAGUACAGGCGAGAGACGAAGAUGCGCAGUUUGAGGUUUGGGGUUUGGCUGAGGAACUGAGCCAGGCGACGCGAGCAGUCCAAGCAAGGGGACCAGGAGCAGAACCAUGUCACAGAGUAGCAGAGCUGAACACCCCCGGGACCACAACCCCACAGGCCUGGGCACAGCGCCCCCAAGUGGCUUAGGAAAAGAAGCUGAGCGAGAGAAAAUCCAGAGCAAAACUCACCUCAACGUGCAAGCCAGCGCGAUUGCGCAGGUGGCCGAAGUCAAAGGACAGCGAGUCCGGGCCGUCCCUCCUCUUCACCACAAAGCACAGCUUUGAAUGAAACUAGAGAAAGUUUUCUAGAGCAUCCUGAAUGGACCUAACAGUAGAGACUGCAACUAGACAAAUGAUACUAUUUUGCAUCACCUUGUGACCGAAAGCUUGCAUCAUUAAAACAAGAGAAAGGGAGAGACAGAAAUGUAGUACUAUAGUAUCGGUUUUGCUCACCUGUCCAGUUUGGUAAUCAUUUCGAAAGAUGAAGCUCUUUCUCUCUCGGAGAAUCAGUCAAGCGUACAUGUGAGCGGGUGAUUGAGUGAGCGCAUGAACUGUGGAGGGAGACAGUUAGCUAAGGCAAUAGAUAGAUGGGGGCUUCUGGUUGGCAGACAGAUUUUUAAAAACGGGAGGGGAGGCGUGAUCAAAUUCAAUUGAUGUGACUGCUGAAAAGAAACAACAAAGGACAACAGUGGACUGAUUGAUCUACAGACGUUAUGCAAAGUUUUAGAACUGUAUUUAAACGUGAUACACUUAUUGAUGUGCAGUAUGUGCAUAAACAAAUGUACUGUCACAUAUUUGUUUGUAUGUGAAGCGAUUUGCAGACACAAAUGACUAUAACAAGAAGUAAUUCAAUCAUACCUGUCUGUGAAAAGUAUGUGAUGACAAAAUGAACUUUCGAGUGUGGUUCGCCACAUUAUUUGAUGUGAAUUGUAGCCUUUUAAUUUUAUGAUAAUUAAAUGGCAUGAAUAGCA